ensembl:lncRNA
CCACCCACACAGACAGCGUGGUGAAGAAGGCGCAACAGCGCCUCUUCAACCACAGGAGGCUGAAGAAAUUUGGCUUGACACCCAAAACCCUGACUAACUUUUCCAGAUCCACAAUCGAGAGCAUCCUGUCGGGCUGUAUCACAACCUGGUACAGCAACUGCUCUGCCCUCAACCGCAGGCCCUCCAGAGGGUGGUGCGGUCUGCACAACGCAUCACCGGGAGCAAACUACCUGCCCUCCAUGAUACCUAUAGCACCCGAUGUCACAGGAAGGCCAAAAAGAUAAUCAAAGACAACCACCUGAGCUACUGCCUGUUCACCCCUGUUACCAUCCAGAAAGUGAGGUCUCCAGACCAGAGCUGCAUCAACACACCGCGCAAAGAAACCAACCCCAGACCCACUACAGACAUGAUCAUCAGACUGGGCAGGCUGACCCCUGGAUACUUCCGCCUCCUACAGAGACAGGUGGCGGGUGAGGUGCAGACCCAGCCACAGGACCGCGCGGUCAACCAGAUAGCCAUGAUGCUGGCCAUCAUGGGCCUGAGCCUGUCCUACUACAGUGCCAAACGGAUGACGGAGAAGGUCCAUAGGCUCCAGAAGAGAAGAGAUCCCCAUACCCCCUGAAGAGACCCCCCUGGAGAUUACAGUGUCGGUGUCCAGAACAACACCUUUUCACAACCAAUCAGUCGUAGUCACGUCGUUCAGACACUGGAGUUUUACUGGGAUCACUCUCAAUGUGAGGAGAAUUCGGG